AGUCGAGCCUGCCCAGUGAUUAAAUUUAACGGCCGCGGUACUCUGACCGUGCAAAGGUAGCAUAAUCAUUUGCCCUAUAAUUGAGGGCUAGUAUGAAUGGUUUGACAAGAGUAAUUCUGUCUCUAUAAAAUUUUGUAGAACUUGGUUUUUAGGUGAAGAAACCUAAAUAAUAUUGAAAGACAAGAAGACCCUAUCGAGCUUAAAAAAAUUUUAUUGAUUAAAUACAAAAAUCAUUUUAAUAAAAAAUUUUGGUUGGGGCGACUAAGGAACAUAAAAAGCUUCCUUUUUAUUAUAAAAACUAAUAAGUAUUGAUCCAAAAAAAAUUGAUUAAUAAAAUUAGUUACCGUAGGGAUAACAGCAUAAUCUUUUUUAAGAGUUCUUAUCGAAAAAAAGGUUUGUGACCUCGAUGUUGGACUAGGAUAUCCUGAAGAUGUAGAAGUCUUCAAAGGUUGGUCUGUUCGACCAAUAAAAUCCUACGUGAUCUGAGUUCAGACCG
rnacentral:rRNA from 1 species